rnacentral:rRNA from 1 species
UACGAAGGGGGCUAGCGUUGCUCGGAAUCACUGGGCGUAAAGAGCUCGUAGGCGGUGUGUCACGUCGGCCGUGAAAACCUGCAGCUUAACUGUGGGCGUGCGGUCGAUACGGGCAUCACUGGAGUUCGGCAGGGGAGACUGGAAUUCCUGGUGUAGCGGUGAAAUGCGCAGAUAUCAGGAGGAACACCGGUGGCGAAGGCGGGUCUCUGGGCCGAUACUGACGCUCAGGAGCGAAAGCGUGGGGAGCAAACAGG